rnacentral:rRNA from 1 species
UACGAGGGGUGCAAGCGUUGCUCGGAAUUAUUGGGCGUAAAGGGUAGGUAGGUGGUCUCGUUUGUCUGGGGUGAAAGCCUUGAGCUUAACUCAAGAAGUGCCCCAGAAACGGCGAGACUGGAGUCCUGGAGAGGGUCGUGGAAUUCCCGGUGUAGCGGUGAAAUGCGUAGAGAUCGGGAGGAACACCAGAGGCGAAGGCGGCGACCUGGACAGGUACUGACACUCAACUACGAAAGCGUGGGGAGCAAACAGG